AGUGAGAGAGAGAGAGAGAGAGGUCUCUCAACCCAUCAAGCACGUUUGACACGUUAGGUGAUCAAUACUUCUACGCUAGCUAGGUAUGCUGCAUUAUUGUUGCUCUUUAAGCUAUUUGCAUGCAUGGUGAAAAACGUAGAGGGCCGUAUGCCAUGGAGCUAAUUAUAUAGAUUUGGUUUCUGGUUUGGAUGUACUAGUGGUCGUUCCAAGCCACUACAAAACAUUAGGCCCAUCUAAUUUGGGUUGUAGACCUUCUGUGGUGGAGAAGCUCGCCACCAUAAGCCCAGCUAAUCCUCCUAAUUUGGCCUUCGUUUAGGUACACAUUCACGACUCUAAUUGGUAGCAAUCGUCCAUAGGCGCUUUCGGUUGUGGACUCCGAAAAUGCCACUCUACAUGUUUCUAUGAACUGUGAAUAGCGGUCCGGUGUACGCUCUUCAGCCCAUAUAUCGGCCAGCUCCUAAGAAUUUGAGUAACGCUCUACUUACAGUAAUUUUAGGAAAAACUUUAAUAUCACUCUAUAGGCUUCAACUUUUUUACUUUAUAUUCUAUGGUUAACAGUGUAUUAAUUUAGUACCUGUUGAUUUUAUUUUUUUUUUAUUAUCAAUUUUAUUAUUUUUUUUUUCUUAAAUCAAGUAAUAAAUUAAAAACUAACAGAGUAUUAAAGUGAAUUUUGAUAAUUAUCUAUGGGUAUCUUGAGAAGUUUUUGUGAUAUAAUUACAAAUUUAACAAAGAAACUAGGCGAAAAGAAAAAAAUGAAAUUCACAGAACACUAAAUUGGUACUAUUUAAACAUAGAGUUAGUAGAAUGAGGAAAGUGCCCGAAACAUAUGGAGUAAGUAUUUUGAAGUUUACUCCUAAUUUAUAAUUUUUAAUAUAUUUGGCUUAUUAUGUGUAGAGCCUUUUUAAUUGGCAAAUGGAUUACCAUUUUCAUGAGGGUGCUUGUUUGUAGUUCCUAAGGACAAAGAAUUAUAUAAACCUAACUACUAAAUUUAAAUUAUAGGAUUGGUUGUAAGAAGUAGUUUGUAGAAAUGAUUAUUUUAAGAAUUUAACUAGCUGUCUAUAAUUUGCCAAGUAUAGGUUAUCUUUUGUGACUGCAUACAAUUUGAUUUUAGUUUUUGGUAUAGGUCAAUGAUUAUAAAUUUUUCAUUGGACAAUGCAUUACGCUUUAAUUAGAUUGAUCAAUUGAUUGUCAUCCGGCCACGAUGCCAAUUCCCAGUACUCUUGCGGACUCACGGAUUAUUUCAACAAAGACGCUUUUUCUAGCAUAUUCAUCAGCCACUGUAAAAGAGGUCCCUAGCUCAAGUCAGUAGAUUCUAAGAAUGUGACAAAUUUUGCGAACACAUUUCAUGAUAUUCAACAAAGUUGUAGGUUUAUAAUUACGCUUUUGAGGCUCACUGGUGAUGUAUAUAUAGAUUAUUUACGUUUUUAUUUAUUGACUGCGAGGACUGAUUAUGGUCAAAUAUUUUACAAUGUCCUCAACAUUGACGCUAAGAUCAAUUAUCUAUUACGACGCCAUGCAAUUAAUGACUUUUGACCUAAUGCAAUCAGUGAAUCGUCAGCAUGUAUCGAACCUUACGCUCUCUGAGAGAUUAUAUGCCUAACAAUGCUUAUUUUUGUGAUCCACUAUUCUUGAUUGCCAUUAAGCCGUCAGUAUGCAUUAUAUCAAAUAUGACCUGGUUUCCAUUUAGUAUCCCGUUCAUUGUUGUGAUGAGGAGCUAGUAAUCGAAUUUCAACCACACCACUUAAGCCGAGUAAUCUUAAAACUGCCACAAAUAUUCCUAGUCUACGAUGGAUCCAAGAUAUUAUAGAUUGGAACUUAUGGCCAUAUUUGAAUACAUCAUCUAAGCCUUAGAAUGCUUAACUUAAUUAGGUCAGAUCAUUUCGUUUUCAAUAAUUUACUCUUUAUAAUUAGCUAAUGAAACUAUUCACAUUAUAAAUUUGUAUAUUAAACACUGUCCAUCACAAAAUAGAGGGCUGAAUAAUUUGCGGUGUCAGGGUACGUAACCAAAUUCUUUAUUCCACAAUUCUCUUGAUGUUUUGAAGAAUAAAUGAAAGAUUAAAACACAGAAAAUUAUACUUGAUUUAAUGACAAAAAAGUUAGAACGGUUGCACAAUAGAGGAAACAGUAGGCAUCAAAGUUGCAUCAAAAUCCUUAGCUCUUGAAUCUUUUAUUUCUGCGAACAAUUGAUCAUAAACGAAUUUUUACUUGUUUUCACCUAUAAUCGCAUUAAUUACUUGACAUUUUGACAGAAAGGACAUGCAUGCAUGAAUGUACUAUUCAUUCAUUCGGUAUUACUAUGUUUGCAAAGUUACCAUUAAUCAAGAGUAAACAUGUUUAUGUAUGGCAAAUGAAUUUAAACGAAAAAUAUGCUAGCUUAUGCGCAGCGAUGAUAACAUGCACUUAAUUGAAUACCCACUGUCCCGCAACAGAAAAAUAAUCUCAUAAUUAAGUUGUUCUGAGGAAAAAUAAACAUGCUAUAUACGUAAGGGUCGGGAGGAAGAAAGAAAGAUGGCAACAGGAAUAGCAAUGAUGAAGAGUGAGUUGAGAGAUUAAAGCAAUGAAGCGCAUGCGUUAUUUCAAAGACUCGAGUGCAACUAUAUAUGGAAAUUUAGUUAUACAUUAUCAAUUCGAAGGGCCUAUAUAUUUUUUUGUCUUCGUCUUUUGCGAUAUUAGCUAAGCUACAUAGCAUGCCAUAUGAAUUAUCAUAAUAUAUAUUUUUGUCACUUUAUGGUGACAGGAUUGAAGAUUCCUGGGGUUGAUAAAAUAGAUUAAAUGCGUUUCUGGAUCAGACGGGGCAAUUAACAACAUUAUCUCUGCUUACAUUAAUUCCUCAUUGGUGUGAAUUGCAAUAUGACGUCACCGUUGCUUGUAUAAAUAUUGAAAUGCUUUCCAUAUGGCUUUUUUAUUUAUUUUUCAAUCAGGCAUAAGCAACGGUUCAACGAGUCAGAAUUAAAAAUAAACGAUGCUUUCAAUUUGAGAUGACUUUUCACACUGCUCUCAUGCAAUUAGUAAUGUCUCUACUUCAAUUUCUCGCUUGGUUAGUAUUUCUUCUUACUUGAAUAUUUUAUUGUGGCAUAAGUUCGAUUUUAUUUUGUAUGUUUGCUCUGUGUUCCAUUGAUGGUAAAUUUUUGGUCACACGAAGCUUGAUCUCUUUAAAAGCAAUGACAAGUGAGAUCAAAUACAUCUUCUUACAAUAACAAAGAAUCAUCAAACACAAGGACGAUGAUCACUAGUUUCACACAUACAUCAAAUUUCACCCGCAGCAAUCUACAAGACCAUUUUCCCAUCAUGGUGACGAAUCCAUAUUAGAAAGCGGUAAAUAUCAACAAGAUCUUCAAGAUCGAAUAAACGCAAUAAACAGGAUUUUGACGAAAUUAGUGAAUCGGCCUUAAAUAUAAAGGACACUGGCCUCCACACCUUGAUUUUUUUUAAUUUCAGUUUAUUACUAGGAGUUGAUAUUUCUUUUAGUAUGAUGUACGAGAUAUAAAAGAGGCAGGAUGCUAACCUAGGAUAGGAAUUAUGAAAUGAUACCUUGAUAUUGAUUAUUGUUUUCGAAUUAAUUCUCCUCGUCCUUCUCUAUUCUCCUUUGUAUCUAAUCUUAUUCUUCUCUUCCAAAUUUACUCUUAAGUUCUUCCAAUUCUUAGCUUACUCUUUAUCCUUACCUGGUACUGCAAUAUGGGUCGGAUCAACGGCUCAUCCUCGAGCCUCCUCUCUCAGCGAGAUCUAUCAUCGAUGGGGUUACGCGAGUCAGGUCGUACACAAUUUUUGUCACAUGACACUCUGAACAAAUUGACCCUCAGCGAAAAAUUUUUAGAUUCAGGAAGGAGUUGAAAGACAAGCACUGAAUCUUGUAGCAGAUCAAAGCAUGAAGACAAGCGAAACUCACGGGCGGGCGGCGGAGGGAUGGGCUCCAGAUGCAAGUCGGAUGUUGCCCGCCUCCUGCAUCAUCCUACAAAUAAUAAUCAAUAUUAUAUGUAUAUUAAAUGAGGAGCCUGGGAUGAACGAAAGUAUUAAGUUAAAAAUGGCAGAGCCUUUACUAUUUUACAGUCGAAACAUUAUUUUCACCUAAUUUUUGAACCUAGAUCAUGGCCUAAUAUUACAGUAAUAAUUAGUCGACGCAAUAUUCUUCACUUCUACAGAAUAUUAUGUUGUUGUUGGCAAUUUCUGUUGCGGGUGCCUCCAUGAUAAAUUCGAGCACUUCGCCUACGCAGCUCACGACUUGCUAACCUUAUCCUCUCAGCUGCAUGGUCUUCAAUNNNNNNNNNNNNNNNNNNNNNNNNNGACCCCCCCCCCCCCCCACCCUUCACAGCCGUUCUCCAUCUUUGACCUGUGUAUAUAUUCGCUGAAAGAAAACAAGGUUAAGUGAGAAUCCAAAUGGACAGAGAUCGAAAACAAAAUGAUAAAAUUUUUCAAUAUGUUUGAUUCGGAAUAACAAUUGGAAGAAUCAGUAUGCUUGAUUCAUGCUUUCAAUACUUAAAAUAUUUUGAUUAUGAAAAAUAAUUAAAAUAAAAAUAAAAUUAAAAUACAAAAUAUAAAAGUAAAUUAAAAUUGAGUUUGCACCUAAAAAUAUAUAAUUUUUUAUAAUUUAAACUCAAAGUAAAAGUUAAAUAUUAAAAAUUUACAUCAAAAUAUUGAAAUGAUAAGCCAAGAUUUUAAAUAUUAUUUUUAUAAAAGUUAAAAUUUAAAAUUGAAUGGAUAAUUCAAAAUAUAAAACUAAUUUUUGAUUUGAUUAAAAUUCAAACUUACAAUUAGAUAUAAAUAUAAAUUUACAGAUCAAAUUUAAAAUACUUGAUUGAAUUUAUAUUUUAAUUUAAUUUCUAAUCCAAAAUCUAGAAUUAAAAAUUUAAUUUCUAAAUUUAAAUUUUAAUUUUAAUUAAAAAUUAAAGACAAAAAAUUAAAAUUAAUCUUAAAUAAAAAAUAUAGAAUAUUAUCGAGAUGUUUUUAUUAUAAAGUGGAUUCUUUUCGUGUUGGUUCAACUUUCAAUCCGACCUAAGAGGCCGGAUUGAAAAACAGGUGACCAGGGUAUUCACAUUCAUCCAAAAAUCGGAAUCGGAGUGGAGCUCCCAUAUGUCAAACACCUAUGAAUAGAUUCGUCCAUUCCGAUUCUAAUUUUUGAAUGAAAAAGAUGCAAAUCAAACAUCCUUCUAAAGGCCUUUAAAUAAGAAAUGGCAGAUAUUAUAACCAAUUUUUGGAUUGUAAGCUUAGCAUUUCUCUUAACAAUAAGAGCAUCCCACACUUCUUAAUUAGUAGUCUUAUAGUUAACUCUAUAGGAUUUUUGUGCUUCACCCCUCUCUCUCUCUCUCUCUCUCUCUCUCUCUCUCUCUCUCUCUCUCUCUCUCUCUCUCCCCUAGGAAUUUUAUUUUGUCGACUCAUCACCAAGUUCGGUCCAAUUAUUCCAUUAAUCAUGCGAGAAACUCUAGUACAUGAUAAGGAUAUAUAAAUGUUUAUAUUGAAGUAAUAAAUGUGACUCAAAUUCGGUAAUGAAUUAAUUUAGAAGAAAAUUAAUUUUCAAACUCAUAAAGCCAAUAGAAAAACAUCACAUAUAUGACCCACACGUAAGAAUGAGAUGAGGUGAGAGAGACUAUCGCCGUGGGUUCCAACUGUUAAGAAUAUGCCUUUUUUUUUGAACUUGGAUUGAAUCAAAAUAAUUAACCCAUUAAGUUGGUUCAUAAAAGAUGGCGUAGACUAGCUAGGUCCGCAGAUUACAUCAAAUUGAUUUUAAGUUUAUUCUAUUGGUGCAAGAUUUUAUGUUUAUCUACACGAGUACUAGUCUAAUUAGCAUGUUGAGGCGUGUUGCAUGUGUGGGAAAAUUAAUUAGCCUUGGGCUAAUUAAUUCACAGCCUUUCGGAGGACGUACGCAGCAAGGAGGAAAGACCUUAAUUAAUUAAGAUGGUCCAUCCGUACGGUAGAAGACCGCACCUUUGCAUGCGACAUCGGAUGGAGUCGGCACCUUUGAAUGCGACAUCGGAUGGAGUCGGCAGCAGGAGCGGAGGUUCUCGACCAAUUGUCUGAGCGGUUUGGAUUUUUCGAAUCAACGACAAAAGGAAUUUGUUCAGAUUUUCUAUACUAUCUCAUUUUUACGAAAAAGAAAAAUCGGUAUUUUUUUGGAGUUCUUGUUGGAACAAAAAAGGUAGAAUUUAUUAUAAGGUUCUUGAUUUCUAUCCGGAGAAGGCAUAAGGUGUAAGCUUGUAUUUCUAUUUUUUCAUACAGUGAAAUAUAUCUCUUUCGCUUUUUUCGUGAACGUAGGCAAUUGCUGAACCAGAUAAAUUUUGGUUUCUUCUUUCUGUAUUUAUUUUUUUUUAUCGUUUGUUUGGUAUUUUUUUUAUUUUUUGUAUAUCUUUGUUGGUAGCGCAUGACGGAUGAUCCAUCCGGCCGCGGUUCACACCAACGUGGCUGUGAUUUGUUUUACUUCCCUCUUUUUUCCUUCAUAAAAAUAACAAGGAAAUCAUUAUGGACCUUCUCCAUCAAUCACCACUUCUUUUUUUUUUUUCCUUUUUCUUUUUUUUUUGAGAAAAUCUCUAUCAAGGUUUUGAAAAUCCAAAUUAAAAUGUCAUAGCUAGCUUAAAGUUUCGAGCACAGUCCCAUUACUAGAUAGCUAGGUUGAAGAAGCCAAAACAUAAUUUUGAACGCGUCCAUGGACCGCGCAAUAGAAUGGACGUGAGACACGCACAACGUAUGUGAGUAUAAGUCCAAUUAAGCGUCGUUGAAAAGUCAAGUACGUAAUGAAACAAAAAGAAAUUAGCCUCUGGUAGUGCCAAUGAGAGGGCAUCGUAUAUCUUCUAUCUGCUUUGAAUUCCGUGAUGUAAACAACAUAUAUAAAUAUAUAUAUAUAUAUAGAGAGAGAGAGAGAGAGAGAGAGAGAGAGAGAGAAGAGAGAAUCUAAGCUACACAAAUUAAAAGAUUUUAAUUUUUCAAAAGUUUUAACUUCAAGUAUUUAAAGUUAUUUGCAAAAAUAAAAAAAUAAAAUCUCGAAUUUUCAACACUUGCUUCUAUAGAUUAUUUUGUCCCUUUUCUUUUUUCUUUUUUUUUAACCUAAAGAAAUAAACCAUAUAUAUAUAUAUGUAUAUGCUCUGAUAAAGAUAAGUAUGAGCAAAAGUUGGCUCAAUUUAUUAGGCUUCGAGAAAGUUAGGUUGCAUGCUAAGAAGUGGGUGGGUUCGUUCUCUAUGACCCAUCUUUAUCUUUGUUUUCUUCACAAGGCAAUAUAAUUCAAUGCAAAAUAAUUCAAAAUGGUCAUGUAUGAGUAUGAAUAUCAGGUUUUAUCUAAUCUUAUACGCCAUAUAAAAGGAUUUGGGCGGUUUAUAAUUUGCUCUGAGCUAUGACUUUGUGCUUAAUUGUAACGACAUCUUACGUACCGUUUUUGAUUGAAUAAAUUAAGUUCUUCUUCGAUCAUUAAAAGAAAAAAAAAAAAAAGAAAAAAAAAGAAAAAGAAGAUCCAGCUGGGGCCUUGGGCACACCAUGCACGGAACUAAGUACGAGGACGUGUAGGACAAUAAAAUCAAGCAGGUAGAUGCUGCAGGGGUUGUUGGAUCUCUCUCGCUUUCGCUACUAAUUAAGUUACAUCAUGGGAGGGGCCCAUUCUUUAAUUUGUCAAACUCCACCACUCGUAUUCCACGUUGAAAUAGACCUCUCUCUUAGUCAAAACUCCAUCACUUCCACUUGCAUUAAUUCAAUGUUGAAAUAGAGAGAAGUAAGUUAACUAUUCAAGAAUAUUUUAGAGAAUGUUUGCGUUUGGUUAUAAGUAAGAAAUUUUAUUUUUUGCUUCUUUAGAAUUUUUUUUUUUUUUUUUUUAUUUGCAGAGAUAGCACGCUACCCGGCCUUCGUUUCUUUAGAAACUUGCUGUCCAUAAUUGUUAGAUGACGGCAUAUUAAUUUGCAUUCGAUGAUAAUUUAUCUUGUAGAAAAAUGACUUGAAUUCGACUAUCAUAUAUCUUUUUUCUCCUAAAUAUUGAUCAUAAUCGCUUAUCAAUUAAAUUAAUGUUCAAACGCUACAAAUUUUGUUGAGUAAAUCAGAAGAUAAACUGGCACACGAUUUUCACGCAGAGCGUUAGUUUCAGUUGAAUUUCGGAACAACUUAUCGGUGCAAAGUUUCUUGUGUGCUAAAUUUAUUUUACUCCCUAUAGAAUUUUCAUCCAUAAUUUAAUCAGAUAACAUAUUUCACUUGCAAAAUGAUUUAUCUUAUUUUUACUCCUGAUAGAAAUUUCCAUCCAUAAUUUUGAUAGAAAACAAUUCGCAUGAAAAAAAUUAAUUUAUUCCGAAAAUUGAUUAAAAGUUGAAUAUGUUGUCUUUAUUUCUAUGUUUAAUCACAUUCUUAUCUACAAAAUGUACAAUUUUGAGUAAAUAAAAUUACAUCCAAAUAAGUAUAUUUUAUAAUUCCAAACUGACCUUAAUCAAAUCACUAAUAAUUGCAAGUGCGUAUAUAUACAUUAUUUUAUAUUAAUGUAUCACUCAGAAGAAGAAUCUAAUCCUAAUAACCGCAUGGUUAUUAAGACAAAGACUCAAACUUUGUGAUAAAGAUACCACAUGGCGCGCACAAUACCUCUAAGAUAAAAAUAAAGAACAAACUCUUUUAACUUAUAAUCAUGCGAACCUAAUAAUUUUGAUCCUAUCAAUAACUUUUUAGAAGACCAUUAAUUGACCGUUACUAACCAAGCGGCAAAGUGCUGAAUCGAUUCGUAUAUCCAAGAUGUUGCAAAAUACAAAUCUAAUUUACUCAAUAUUUAACUUAAAAUUUAUUUUUUUAUGCCAAAAUAAAAUAACAAUAGUACGUAUAUUCAUUUCUACGAAGGCCAUGCACCCGCGGGGAAAUCCAGAUUCGCGCUUCGAAUCUCUGAUCCCAAUGACGGUGUCAAUUAGAAUUUUGGUUUACUUAACUCUACGCGGAGGUGUGGGUUCAUGAGUCGACGAUCGCAGAUUUAAGCUGUGGACAAGACCAACAGAAAAUUUUUAAAAAUGAAAAAUAAUAAUAAGAAAAUAGAUACAAAGAUAUUAGAGUACUAGUGUGAAACCGCGCGAUGCAGCGCGGUAGAUAAUAAAAUUUCAACAUUUAAAAUUUAAAAACUAAAAUUAUAUUUUAGAAUUUAAAUACUAAUUUUUCUAAAUUAUAAAAUUUGGAAUGAAAGUUAUAUGGCUCCAAAACAUCACUAUUCUUCAAUAAAUUGUGUCUAGAAACUUUAAAAUUUUACCAAAUUCUAAAAUUCAUACUAUAAAUUUCAUGCUAUAAAGUUCAAAAUAAAAUAAGUCUCUUACACAUAUCUAUUAAAUAUCUUUCAAAUAUUAUAAAAAUUAGAUCUUAUGAUAGUUUUGCUGGAAAAAUCUUCACUUCUCUUCUUCAUCCGAAUCAGAAGACUGGAUUAAAAUGCAAAUAAGAGUACACAUUCAAGUUAUUUAAGGUAAUAUUUUAAAACUUCUUAUGAACAUAAUUUUGAAAAGUAUAUAUAGAAAACAAUGUUAGUAAUUAAAUUUUUCCUGAUGAAACAAUUAAAAUUACUAUCUACUAUGCUUAAAAAAAAAAAAAAUUCUAUAUUACCUGAGCAUUCUUUUUUUUUCCUCUUGAUUUCCUCGCAGUUUUCUCCAACUUGUUAUUUGAGCUUCUCAUUUGAUAAUUUCAAAAUUGUACAUACAAAAUAAUUAAAAUAAAUAAACAAAUUAAACUUGACGAAGAUGGAUUAAUUAGAAGUCUUGUGGAGGAAAAGUGAAGGAUCAUAAUAAAUUAAUUAGAAAUAAAAUGGUGAGAAUUAUAAAUGACAGGGGGAAUAUUUAAAUACAUUAAUUGGAAGUUUAGUAGUGGGCCAUUUUAGAUGUAUUAAUUAGAUACGUUAAUUAAAAAUUUAAUAGAGAAUUUAAAUACAUUAAUUGGAAGUUUAGUAGUAGACCAUUUUAGAUGUAUUAAAUAGAUACGUUAAUUAAAAAUUUGAUGAAGAAAAGGCGAAGAAUCACAUGGUAGUGAAGGUGAAAAAAAACUUAACAUGGAACCAUUUAAAUACAUUAAUUGAAAGUGUAGUAGUAGGCUAUUUUAGAUGUAUUAAUUAGAUACGUUAAUUAAAAAUUUGAUGGAGAGAAAGAGAAAGAAUCAUAUGGUGGUGAAGGUGAAAGAAAACUUGCCACGUGGCAAAACGUAUUGUGGAUUCAUAUAAUUUAAUAGAUUAAUAGAUGUCUCCCUCACAGUCACGCGUAUACAAAUAUAGAGCAUUAAAUCUUUUUAUUUAUUUAUUAAGUGGUAUCUUAAUUAAAUUUUUAUUAUUUUAACAGUCGAUCGAAUGAAGUUGUUAGUUUAACAAUUAAAUAUAAUAUUAAUAAAUUGAUAUUUUGUUAGACGUGUUGAUGCAAUUGAUCAAUAAUUAAUUACUAGCAUGUUUUCGUUGGGCCGUAUUUAUUCGACCUUAAGUAUUUAAAAAGAAAAACCCUUUGGGCUCUAUAUAUAUACCACGCAAUUUUGUACUAUAGCUAACUACAAUUGGCCCGUAGGACCUAGUUCCAAAUAGGCUCGAUUAUACACGACCCUAACUUGAAUUUAAGCACAACCAUUUGUUACUAACUUGAAAUGAGCUGUACUGGCUCGCCAAAAGCCAAAAGGGGACGUACAUCCUACACCUCGCCUACUGGAUGAAUAGAGUGUAACUUGUACACCUCUGAUGGAGUGUACAAAUAGCAUUUUUCUUCUUCAGUAACUAACGUCCUUGACGCGUUUAGCUUCUUUUGGUAUCCUAUUCAUGGAAGUUCCUCCAACCUAAUCUCCGGAUUUUGCUUUUUAAGUCCAAGUGAUCCCAAUUAGAUACUACAAAUUUCAUCAAACAUCUCAACGCUUUACUCUCUUAGAUAUCUCUCUCAUGUGUUGCCUCAAAACUUUUAGGGUGCGUUUGGUUCGCAUUAUGAAAAAUUACUAGGAAUAAAAGAUAUUCUAGAAUCUUAUUUCUAUUCAUUCUAUUACUAAGAAUGUGGAAUUUUUAUGUUUGGUUCGCACAGUAAUAUUAAUUAGCCAUAUUAUUUAAUAUUACAAAAAUUAUAUAAUUAAUUAAUUAAUUUAUUUAAUUAAUUUUAGAUAAUGUUACCAAAAGUUUGAAUAUCUUUUUAGAAAAAAGGGAGAAAGAGUAUAAGUUAGAGAGAGAGCAUAAUUAAAAAAAUAGAAAGAAAAAUAUAGUCGAAAUUAGAGAGAGUGAGAGAGUUGAAAUUUUAGAAAGGAGAGGGAUGAGAGAAAGCUUAGUUUAGAGAGAGAAAAAGUUGAAUUUUAGAGAAGAAAAAUAAGUUUAGAGAGAGAUUAAGUUAGAGUGUAACGAAAAAUAAUAUCAAUUAGCGGCGGGUAAGAGAAAGAAAAGAUUAGACAUAUUAUGAUUAUCUCAAUCCAUUAAUAUGAGGAUACCCACCACUUCCCUCAAAGGAAUGAGUUAGUAUCUUUGGGGUGAUCUUAUUCCCAAUGUGAUCCAAUAUUACCAACUAGGAUUUACUUAGUGCGUUUAGCCAAUACCGUCAUAUUUUUUUAUUCCAUUGGAUUACUAGAAACUUUUAUAAAAAAUAGCACGAACAAACUCACCUAUAUGGUAAUCUUUUUCCCGAAGACUGCUGAAAUAAGCUUUCUUAAUUAAUGUGACUCAAAUUAAGAUGCAUCCAAUUCUCAAAGUCAGGACAUAAAACGAGAAGCCGCAGCAACCAAACAAAACCCCUUCCUUAAUUUAUUUGCCACUGCUUCUCAUUGUUCUCUUCUUCCUUGUAUUUUUCUAUGGUUACAAUCCUAGGGACCACACUCCCUUAAUACCUCUCCUUUUUAUUUUAGCACUAAAACAAACAAAGAUCUAUAAUAAUCAUAUAUUAAAGAGGAUAUAUAUUUUAUAUAUGACUCAAAAAAAAAAAAAAAAAAAUUGUGUGAGAGUGGGAUUUGAACCAGCCCUUUCGGACCAGACCUUAAUCUGGCGCCUUAGACCAACUCGGCAUCUCAACUUUCCUGUAUAUUGUUUUCUUCGUACAUUCAUGAUAAUCUAUUUUUUCACGCAGUGAAAUUCUUGAACGGAAAGUAAAUCAAUAGAAAUUCCCACGGAUUAGAAUGAAAUUGAUGGAGGAUACAUCCAAAAAUGUUGAGGGUUACAUGGCAAUUUUACAAUGGGGUACGCAUACAACAGCCUCAUGGCAAAAUCCCCAGUUCCUUUGAUACAUGUGUGUACAAAGAUUAGUUCCUACGCACUAGCAUGUUUAGAAGUGCACAGUCUAUUUCACGCGGCUAAUCAGCUCACUCUCCGAGACCUCCCUCGGGCAGUUCGAAUGAAUCGAUCUCUGCGAAAUACGCUCUUGUUCUCCACAAAUCUGGUGGUAAAAUCGGCUUCCUCGAUAGCUUCGUAUGUAUUCUCACGCUGCUUCUGCAUAAAUAUCAGGCAAAAUAAGAAUUGCCAAUGCAUUAAAACAUAGUACAUUACCAAAGUGAUGUGACAUAAAAAUUCAUAGAACAUAUCAGAAGAAACAAAUGUAUACUAAAUUAUCUCUUUUGGAUACUAAGGUGCCUCAAUUUCCUUCUCACCAUACUGAAGAGCUAAUGUAAUUAAAUGGUCUACUCUUGUGAAAUGUUGAUUUAUUAAUCUUGGUUUGUCGCUCAUAAAGAGAGGAGGAAAUAAGUUGAGCGGCUCCCACUGUUAAUAGCCUACAUCCCUCGUAGGCUCAAAGAUCAAACUGCUCGCAACUAUGUGAACAAGAAUUCUAAACGUCAAUAUGAGAACCGACAUGAAAUAAUCAUAGCAAUAGCGAUGACCAAGUAGUGAUGCGUUUGAUUGAAAUUUCUUUUUUUACAGUUAGCAGUAGAAUCUAGAUAUUUGUAUGGUGAACUACAUAGAUAUUAACAUUUGCUGUUCAAAGCAUAUGAGAUUCAUCUGGACAACUGGACCUAUAUCAACUAAUCUGACAUUUACCUUCUACAAAUCACUGAUCAACAUUUUUAUGCUCCCUAUCUUUAUUGCAAAAUAAAAAAAAAUUCUAAAAAAGACUAACGGAGGUUUUAAUCAGAAUAUCUUAAUGUUGCAGAUAUUUAAUGAAGCUUAUAUAAGCCAUGUAAUCAUAACCAAAAGGCCUACACUAUCGCUAUAGUUUCUAGAAGAUAACAAUGUUUUUGACUGUUUAUCACUCACAAAGCUUUCUUACACACAAGUUUUAUCUGAUAGUAUUUUCAAUUCAAGAAAGCAGCCUAAAGCAUUAAAUUUGCUUUUUUCUUUUUGAGAGAGAGAGAAAGGUAGCAACUAUAUAUAUAUAUAUAUAUAUAUAUAUAUUAGAGGAAGAUGAAUAGUAGGACAGCAUGCUUCAAUAGUGCAAUGUAGCCAAGCAACAAUCCAUAACAUCUCCAAUUUUAAUUCUCCCUUUUACUCUAUGGACGGAGAUUAAUUGAAGGUGAGACAUAAUAAAUAUUGAUGUACCGAUUGGUCUCCAAGAAGCAGCGCAAAUAUGUUCAAAUGCCCGCAUGCUGCUAAUUGUUUCUUGAUAUCUAAUGAAAGCAUCCCUUUAUUUUUAAUUCGACUUUGUUGAACUUUCUAUAUAUUCCGGAUUAAAUAAAAUAAAAACCAUAGUGUAGCUAGCUAGAAACGCAAUGUUUAUACACAGGUGUACGUCAGGGAAAUAAUUUAAGCAGAAAUUAAUUGUUAUUAUUAAGUGUCGUGCUGGUCCAAACCAUUUCUCUCUUUCUAUUUCAAUUAACCCCAAGUUUUUCUACAGGAAUCUUUCAAUCUGCACAUAGAUUAGAAAAUAUCUAUUAUGUAUAGUUACUAAUUGUCACUGUAACUAUCGCUUAGCAUAGUAUAAUCCAAGACAAGGAAGAAUGAAUUAAUAUAUAGGCCCCGCGAUUGAUGUAUAGAUCUAUUUGUCACUCAGCUAAUAGCAAUAAAUCCAAAGACAAGGACGAAGAGUAUAUAUAUAUAUAUUAUUAUAUCUUAUAUAUAUAGAGUGAUCUAGGAUACUUUUAUAAGUAUAUUCCCCAUGUUGUAUAUUACGUUUUUAGCAUUGGAUUCUAUUUUGAUUACAAAUAACUUGGAUCAACACUAUUCCCUACCACACCUACUCCCAUAUCUCAACCUCACAUCUCUCCAUCCAAGGGCUAAAAACACAAAGUAUCACUUGGGUGAUACUUGUAAAAGUAUUCUAGCCUACUACAUUAUUAUAUAUAUAUAUAUAUUAUAUAAUAUAAUAUAUAUAUAUAUAUAUUAUAUAUUAUAUAUAUAAUAAUCUGGACUAUAUACUAUUAUGAGUAUUGGAGCCUCGUACUCAUAAGUUGUUUUCGAUGAUGGAGCUUCCGAAUCGACGAUCCACUUGUUAAAUAUGAUCUAAAAUAUUUUGAAAUUUUUAGAAAUAAUUUCGUAACUUUUCGAACUAUAAUAAAGUCCAUCAAGCGGGCAUAAAAUGAACGGUCAAAAUCAAACGACGUCCUAAAAGGAUGAUCGAUCCUUCAAUUCAAGAUCGGAGUUAUUGAUCUUUAUCUAGGUAUUGAAUAGAAUUUUUUUAUCAAAAAUUCAAUAAAUUCCGAUUCUUUUACACCAUUAAACUAGCAAGUAUUCCAUACCGACCAUUAAAAAUUGUCCAAAUUUUGUGACCUUUGAUAGUGAGGUAAAUGAUGUCGAAAAUUAUAAAAUUUGAUUUUUAGGAGUUUUAAAUACUGUAAAUAACGUUUUAACGGUGUGGAUCGUCGAUUCGGAAGCUCUAAUCAUCGAAAACAACAUUAUGAGUACGAAAACGAUCGUACUCAUAAUAGGUAUAAUAGCCAGACCCUACAUAUAUAUAUAUAUAUAUAUAUAUAUAUAUAUAUAUAUUUAUUAUAUAUAUAUAAUUAUAUUAUAUAUAGGCCCCGCGGUUUCUCUAUAUAUGUCGAUGGUACCAAAAAUUGAUUCAUGCGCCUCAUUGCUCUAUCUCAACGUUCCUUCACAUUGUUAUUUAGGUAUGCUUAUUCUUUCAUCCUUUCUCCGCCUUUGGUAUGUAUAAAAAUUUAUUUUUUUGUCCAAGGAAAUUAUUUUUCUCUUUGGGCAUAGGUAUUCGAUUAAACGCAUUUAGUUGGCAUGAAUCUAGCAUAUUAUUGUUUAAUUUAUUUACCGUACAUAAAUAUGCUUUACUCUUUGAGUUUAAUGGGGAGACUUUUGCAUACAUACAUACAUAUAUAUAUAUAUUAUAUAUAUAUAUUAUAUAUAUAUUAUAUAAUAUAUAAUACUUAUUAUAUAUAUAAUAUUAAUUAUUAUAUACUAUACAACAUGCCGAUGAAUGAAUAGUACAUGCAGUUCCUUUUCUCAAAAUAUCAAUAUUCAAGCGGUAAAAGGGGGGGGGGGGGGGAAAUUCUUGAGUUAUGAGCAAUUGCUCGUAGAAAGUAAAAGGUUCAGAGAUUAAAGAUUUGAUUCACUUUGAUUAUAUAUAUACCUUCAUGUACCCUGGUAAUCGCUACUGUUUCCUCUAUGGCUUAUCUUUAGGGAUGCCAACAGGACAGAUUUAGGGGCUGGCGCUCCGCCUCCUGCCCGAUUAUCAAAAUUUCGCUCCGCCUUUCGCUCUGCAUUUGUGACAGGUUAAAAAAAUAUAUUUUAAUUAUAAACCAUCUUCUGCCGGCGCCCCGAAUCCGUCCAAGCUAACUAUUAAUUUUUUUUUACAAAAUAUAAUAUUAUUAAUAUUUUUUAAUAAUAAUGAAUAAUAUUGUUAAAUUAUAUAUGUAAUUAACAACAUCAAUUAUAAAAAUAAAAAGUAUUAAUUAUAAUUUAAAAUAAAAAUUCAAAUAUUUCAAAUACAUGAAAAAUAAGUGUGUAAACUUAUUUGUAUUUUAGACUUUUUUUUUUCUGAAUACAUUAUUUCUUGGGAGUAUUUCCUUAAAAUAUACACGGUUUUGGGGGCUAAUUCGGGGUGGCGGGGCGGAUUCUGAGAGGAUUAAAUUUUUUUAUUUUCUAUCCCGAAUCUGUUGCGGAUCACCAAAAUCAUUCCAAUUUUCUAUCCGGAAUCUAUUUAUUUUUUUUUUAUUUCCUUGCCCCAUUCGGAGGAUCGGGGUAGGAGCUGCACCGCAACCGGAAUCCCUUUGCAUCCCUAGUCACCUUUUUAAGCCUUUUGUCAUUAAAUCAAGUAUCUUUACUUUCUGUUUUAUUGCUUUCAUUUUUCUUCAAAACAUUAGAGAGUAGGGGAUCGUAACUCUCCGAAAAAAUAGCAUCGGAUGUGAUGGUUUGGUGACUUAGGUUGCAUGCUUAAGUGGCGUGGUUGAAUUGAGUUACUAGCUCGUGUGAACAAGAUAGGCUAAUGGAAAGAAGCCAAUUUAUAUAAUGGGAUACAAGUAUGACGGCUCAACGCUACCAAAAAAAUAGUUGGGUCAUUGUGUCGUGCGUGUAAACUCAGAUGAUUUCCGAGGGGGGCAGCUUAAGAUACAUCGGCUCGGAUGAGUGAAUUCGCAUUAGGUCGGAAGUCAUUGAAUGGCAUGUCUUAGUGAGUGACCAAAAAGGUCUACAGAUCUUGAUUGUGACUCGGCCGAACUAGCCUCACGCCACUUCUUCGAAUAUGACAAAGUUCAUCCCCUUCAGUGUCUUUGGCGCUAAUCAUUAAUUCCAAAAAUUCGAACUAUUAGAAAUACAUAGUUAACACCACAUCUACGGAUAUUAAUUAUGAUUCAGUCCAAUCAACUUCAUGCCAUUUCGAGCAUGAUUUGAUUUAACCUGACAUCCUGCCGUAAGAAAGAAUGCUGGCUUAUUAAAGCCAACAAUUUAUGCAUAAAAAUAUUGCCGCAUAAUAAUUAAUAAUAUAAAAUAAAUAAAAAAAAUAAACGAACUAACGUGCUCAGAGCUAACAGACCUAAACUUUUUGGUGAAUGCGUUGUGGCAUCCUAGUAAUUAAAUUUUGUCACAUUUUUAGGUCUAUGUGGACUUGAGUUAGCCUUGGUCAGCCAGCCAUCGUGGACUAACAGUACAGGGUCCCACAUUGAUGGAAAUGUUUUUUGAGAAAAAGGUAGCACGCUACCCGCUUCACACAUUGAUGGAAAUGUUGAAGAUAAUUAUUGAACAAAGACACUGACAAAUAGCAGUUGGAUGGUGGCCACGCUGGUCAAUUAUCAAUUUACAGAUCUAGUGAAAUUAGUGCAUUAUCAUAAAAAUUUAUCAUCAUAUUGACCUGCCACUAAAACUAAAAUCAAAUUGUUGCAGUCGCAAAAGAAAAUCUCUACACAAGGCAAAUCAUGGACGGUGAGAUUACUUUGUCAGAAAAAUGUUAUUAAUUCUUACAAACAACUUGUACAAUAAUUUAUAAAAUUUAAAUUUAGUUGUUAGACUUCAUUCUUUGCCUUGUAAAUUACAACAAUGACCUCAUAAAUGGUACCUUUUUGCCAAUUAAAUAUUGCUACGUAACCAAAUGUGUAAAACGUUGUAAAAUUUAUUUGUAAAUAUAAAAUUAUCCAAAUUCUUGAGAGGUGCAUAUGAGGGGUAGGGGUGGAAACGAGCCGAACUCGAGCGAGCUUAUGUCAGCUCAAAUUCGGCUUGAAAUUAAUUUCGAGCCUAAAUUUAGACUCAAGCUCGGCUUGAAAUUAAUUCGAGCCGAGCUCGAGCGAGCCUAAUUUCGAGUCGAACUGAGCUCGAGCUCUAAACGAGCCGAUUGAAAUUCUCGACAUUAUAUAAUCAAUAGUUUAAUUUUUAUAGAACAUUACCUACAAUUUGAUGCAACAUGUCCAAUAGUUCAAAAUACAAAAUAAUUAUAAGAAAUGUGAGCUAGGGUGACUUCUUGACUCGAUGAGGGUCUGAGAGAGAGAGAGAGAGAGAGAGAGAGAGAGAGAGGAAAAAAAGUAGGGAUUUGAAAAUUUGAAUGUUAUCAUGUUUUAGGGUUAUGUGCAACAGUGAAAGUCUGAAAGAGAGAGUGUGUUAUGUAAAUUUAGAGUUGGGCUCAAUUGCACGUUUGUACUUGUUAGGUUUAUUUUAUGGGCCAACAAUAAUGGCCCAAAUUAAAUUAAAGCCUAUAUAUAAUUAAAAUACAUUAUAUGUAUAAAUAUUAUAUAUAUAUAUAGAGUCCGGCUACUAUACUUUUAUGAGUAUUGGCUACUAUACUUUUAUGAGUACUAGGGGACCACUAUCAUUCUAAGUGGGGACCACCAUCAUCCUAACCACACAUCCCAUCAAUCAACGGUUAAAAAUUUAUGAGUACAAGGGGGUCUAUACUCAUAAGAGUAUAGUAGCCCCGGCCUAUAUAUAUAUAUAUAUUCGAGCUUUUCGAGCUUUUCGAGCCUAAUUCGAACGAGCCGAGUAAUACUCAAGCUCGGCUUGAAAUGAAUUUCGAGCCUUUUAUUUUGUUCAAGCUCGGCUUAUUUAAUUUCGAGUCGAGCUCGAGCGAGCCGAAUAUCGAGCCGAACACGAGUCGAACGCGAGCCGGCUCGCUCGUUUG
rnacentral:lncRNA from 1 species